rnacentral:rRNA from 1 species
GACUCCUACGGGAGGCAGCAGUGGGGAAUAUUGCACAAUGGGCGCAAGCCUGAUGCAGCCAUGCCGCGUGUAUGAAAAAGGCCUUCGGGUUGUAAAGUACUUUCAGCGGGGAGGAAGGCGGUGAGGUUAAUAACCUCGCCGAUUGACGUUACCCGCAGAAGAAGCACCGGCUAACUCCGUGCCAGCAGCCGCGGUAAUACGGA